UGGGGAAUCAUGGUCAAUGGGCGAAAGCCUGAACCUGCGACGCCGCGUGAGUGAUGAAGGUCGUAAGAUCGUAAAACUCUUUUCAGGGAUCUUAAAGCACAGCUGUCAACAACAGCUGUGUGUGACUCUCCCUGGAAGAAGCCCCAGCCAACUACGUGCCAGCAGCUGCGGUAAUACGUAGGGGGCGAGCGUUAUUCGGAAUUACUGGGUGUAAAGGGUAUGUAGGCGGCCCUUCAAGUCGCGUGUCAAAGUCCAGUG
rnacentral:rRNA from 1 species